GCAACAGGGAAUGAAGUUCUCCCUUGAAUGUAAUAUUCAAAACCGCUGAUGAAAGCUGAUGACUUCUGCAAA
rnacentral:ncRNA from 1 species